rnacentral:tRNA from 1 species
AAGCUUUUAGUUUAAACAAAACAUUUGAUUUCGGCUCAAAAACUUGUGGUUAGAUUCCAUAAUAGCUCA